UAAGGAAUAUUGGUCAAUGGACGCAAGUCUGAACCAGCCAUGCCGCGUGGAGGAUUAAGGCCCUCUGAGUUGUAAGCUCCUUUUAUCUGGGAAGAAAUGUACUUUUUCUUGAGUACUUGACGGUACCAGAGGAAUAAGCACCGGCUAACUCCGUGCCAGCAGCCGCGGUAAUACGGAGGGUGCAAGCGUUAUCCGGAUUCACUGGGUUUAAAGGGUGCGUAGGUGGGCAGGUAAGUCAGUGGUGAAAUCUCCGGGCUUAACCCGGAAACUGCCGUUGAUACUAUUUGUCUUGAAUAUUGUGGAGGUGAGCGGAAUAUGUCAUGUAGCGGUGAAAUGCUUAGAUAUGACAUGGAACACCAAUUGCGAAGGCAGCUUACUACACAAUCAUUGACGCUGAGGCACGAAAGCGUGGGGAUCAAACA
rnacentral:rRNA from 1 species